UUCCAUAACAUUCUUCUUUCC
ensembl:piRNA 21ur-2045 ncRNA